rnacentral:tRNA from 1 species
AGUAGUGUAUUUUAUUAAAAAUGUCAUCUUGCAAGGAUGGAGAAGCCGCGAGGAUGCUAUUU